rnacentral:rRNA from 1 species
UCUGUAGGCGGAAUGGUAAGUUGGGCGUGAAAGCUCCGGGCUCAACCCGGAGAGGUCGUUCAAUACUGCCAAACUAGAGGGCAUCAGAGGAGCGUGGAAUUUCCGGUGUAGCGGUAAAAUGCGCAGAUAUCGGAAGGAACACCAAUGGCGAAGGCAGCGCUCUGGGAUGAACCUGACGCUAAGAGACGAAAGCUAGGGGAGCGAACAGGAUUAGAUACCCUGGUAGUCC